CUUCUGGGUCCUCAUUGUAAAUUCUUAGUAGAAUCUGCUUGGUUCAGCUUGGAUCAUAUUUGUUCCUUGAGCCAUUCACCUGUAGCCAGGAAGGUUAGGAUCAUAUAGUGAUAUCAGAGUUGCAGAGACCCACCCCUUUGGGUUUUCAGAGAAGGAGAUCAUGAAGGACCCAAGAGGCUAUGAAAUUUGGUUGUGGAAAGCUCUUCCUGAAGGCAAUGCUGUUGGGGAAUGGGGGGCAUCUAGCAGGACCAGAGACAGAUGAAUUUGGGGCUGUUGCACCUAGGCAAAAAAAUAGGCUCCUGCACUAAGUAGUGACUAUUGGAUGGAGAGCUGAAGAAGGAAAAAUUAGGAGGGAGAACCAACCAACUACCUUUGGUGACUGAUUUGAUGGGGGAGAUGAGACUGGGUUUAGGUAAGAGGACAGGAAAACUGGUUAACAAGAUGGUGAUUUUGAGGUGCCUGUGGAACAACUAAGAAGAUGUGUCCCAUGGGCAGUUGUGGGCAGUUAGAGCUUAAAAGAGUGAUCUGGGUCGGAGUGAGGUGGUGGUUCCAGCUGGGAAUGAGGAUAAGAUAAUCAGGGAGAAUGUGUGGAGUGAGAAGCCAGAACCCAGGGAGGGCUACUAAUGGAUAAGGGGCAGUCAAUUAGGAGUCUGAACAGGUGUGAUUGAAGAGUUGAGAACUAGCAUGGAGUGCUGUCAUGGAAAUCAGCAGAGAGUAUUGUCAGGAAAGUUGACGGGAAAUGCUGCAGACAGAUCCAAUGACACAGAGCCUGGAGAGAAUCUUUUCAACCUAGCAGCAAGAUUCAGAGAGGACCUCUUGGCUGGCUUAUGGAGAGGAAGAAGACAAAGUGAGAGAGAAGACAAAAGAGAAUGAGCAAUGGAGACAGAGUUAGCUGGAGAGUAGAUACAGAAGCUGGAGCAGGAGCAGCCACCCUGGAACUUCGGGCUACUAUGGACAGAGUCACAUGAUGAAAUGAGUCCUUAAUGGCAUGGAGUGCUAUACCUGCUCUGGACCAACCUCCAGACUAUAUAUGAGAGAGAGAGUAACUUUUAUCUUGUUUGAUUCUUCAUUACUUUGGAUUUUUGUCAGUCAAACUCACCUAAUCUCAACUAAUAAGUCUAGGUAAUGGCCAUUAUCCCACUUCCAGGUAAGAAAAAUGAGGCUCAGAGGUGCCAAGUAGCCCAGAGUGGCUACUUUUGUCCAACACCAAAGCCUCUGAGUUUUGUAUUACACUGAGUCUAAACUACCAUACAAAUUAAAAGUUAAGACAGGUCUGUAG
ensembl:lncRNA